AUUGAACGCUGGCGGCAUGCUUUACACAUGCAAGUCGAACGGUAACAGGUCUUCGGAUGCUGACGAGUGGAGAACGGGCGAGUAAUACACCGGAACGUGCCCGAUCGUGGGGGAUAACGAAGCGAAAGCAUUGCUAAUACAGCAUAAGAUAUACGGUCGAAAGGAGGGGACGGCAAGGCCUUGCGCCGACGGAGCGGCCGAUGGCAGAGUAGGUAGAUGGUGGGCUAAAAGCUUACGAUGCCGAAGAGUUGAAGCGGGUCUGAGAGGACGACCAGCCACAUUGGGACGUGGACGCCGCCCAGGCUACUACGGGAGGGCGCAGUGGGCAAUUUUGGGCAACGGGCGAGAGUCUGAUCCAACCGUGCCGCGUGCAGGAUAAAGACCUUCGGGUUGUAAACUGCGUUUUUACGGAACGAAAAGACUUUGGUUAAUACCUGGGGUGCAUGACGGUACCGUAUAAAUAAGCACCGGCUAACUACGUG
rnacentral:rRNA from 1 species